ACGACCCUACUUGAACAGGAUCUGUUCUAUAGACUCGUACCACUUCUAAGGAGACAGGAAAUCAAGUAUGGUUGAUGAAGCGUGGCCAUGUGACCAGAUGGUCUCCUGGCUGUCUGACAGACU
rnacentral:snoRNA from 2 species